rnacentral:tRNA from 1 species
GCCUGGUUGGCUCAGUCAGCAGAGCGUAGGACUCUUGAUCUCAGGGUUGUGAGUUCAAGCCCCAUGUUGGGUG